UACGAAGGGUGCGAGCGUUAUUCGGAAUUACUGGGCGUAAAGAGUACGUAGGCGGUUUAUUAAGUUUGUUGUUAAAGGCUCUAGCCUAACUGGAGAAUCGCAAUGAAAACUGAUGAGCUAGAGGGUGAGAGAGAGAAGUGGAAUUCCCGGAGUAGCGGUAAAAUGCGUGGAUCUCGGGAGGAACACCGAUGGCGAAGGCAGCUUCUUGGUUCAUUCCUGACGUUGAGGUACGAAAGCGUGGGGAGCAAACAGG
rnacentral:rRNA from 1 species